rnacentral:rRNA from 1 species
AACAAACGCUGGCGGCGUGCCUAACACAUGCAAGUCGAACGCGAAAAUCGGCUUCGGCCGAUGAGUAAAGUGGCGCACGGGUGAGUAACGCGUGGAUAAUCUACCCUUCAGUUGGGAAUAACUUAUCGAAAGGUGAGCUAAUACCGAAUAAAACUGCCUGACCACGGUCGGGUAGUCAAAGAUAGCCUCUGCUUGCAAGCUUUCGCUGAAUGAUGAGUCCGCGUACCAUUAGCUAGUUGGUGGGGUAAUGGCCUACCAAGGCGACGAUGGUUAGCUGGUCUGAGAGGAUGAUCAGCCACACUGGAACUGAGACACGGUCCAGACUCCUACGGGAGGCAGCAGUGAGGAAUCUUGCGCAAUGGGGGAAACCCUGACGCAGCAACGCCGCGUGAGUGAGGAAGGUCUUCGGAUCGUAAAGCUCUGUCGGGUGGAAAGAAUGUAUGGGGUUAAUAGCCUUCAUACUGACGUACACCAAGGAGCACGGCUAACUCCG